UGGGGAAUAUUGGACAAUGGGCGCAAGCCUGAUCCAGCCAUACCGCGUGGGUGAAGAAGGCCUUCGGGUUGUAAAGCCCUUUUGUUGGGAAAGAAAACUUGCAGGUUAAUACCCAGCAAGUCUGACGGUACCCAAAGAAUAAGCACCGGCUAACUUCGUGCCAGCAGCCGCGGUAAUACGAAGGGUGCAAGCGUUACUCGGAAUUACUGGGCGUAAAGCGUGCGUAGGUGGUUGUUUAAGUCUGUUGUGAAAGCCCUGGGCUCAACCUGGGAACUGCAGUGGAAACUGGACGACUAGAGUGUGGUAGAGGGUAGCGGAAUUCCCGGUGUAGCAGUGAAAUGCGUAGAGAUCGGGAGGAACAUCCAUGGCGAAGGCAGCUACCUGGACCAACACUGACACUGAGGCACGAAAGCGUGGGGAGCAAAC
rnacentral:rRNA from 1 species